UUAAUCGUAGUCGUAGCUUUCACCCCAACUACUACAACUUUUCUUCUUUAUUUCCUCGAAAAUUCACACGCAUAAUUAAACUCGUAUAUAAACUCUGUACAUACCCUUUUCUUUCUCACAACCAUCUUCUCUCUUAAACUGCAAAAAUCCCCUUUCUCUUCUCUGAAUAUAAAUUUUCUAAUUUUUUUCUUGAAUUUUCCACCUUUUUCUUUCUGGGAAAAAUAUAAAUCUGUUUCUAUUAAAUUUGAAGAUGAAUUCAUUUAGAUUAAUGAGCCUCUCAUCUAUUAUUGGUUUUUUGUUGUUGGCUUUGGUUGAGUUCAGUUUUGGCCAAGGCAUGGCUCCUUCUUCAGCUCCACCUCCUUCCAAUGACGGUAAACAUCUUCUUUUACCGUAGUAUAAUUAAUUUUCACGCUAUUAAUUUACUCAAAAAGUAAUUACAAAUAACAACUUAUAACAUCAGGAAUAAUAACCUAAAAAAUAAGGUAAGCAACAACAUAACAGGUUAAACUGCAUUGAUAAGAAAUCUUAUACUAAUAUAUAAUUAAAAAAUUAGGCAAAUAAUUUUUUUUACACUAAUAGUACGUAGAGCUUAAACUAUCAAAAUCCUCUUCUUCUUGGAUUUUUCAUAAAUAUACUUUAAAUGUGAAGAAGGGGAACUUUGGAGCAACAAUCAAGUUGUUUCUGUGUGACCUAUAGGUCACGAGUUUGAGCCGUGGAAUCGGCCACUGUUGCCUACAUCACAUCCCUUCGGGUGCGAUCCUUCUUUGGAUCCUGCGUAAAUACGGGAUAUUUUGUGCACCAAUUUUUUUUUUUACACUUUAAUAUAUGAAGAAAUUGAUUUGGUAAUUUUAUUGCAGGCACAGUGAUUGAUCAAGGGAUUGCUUAUAUUCUUCUACUUGUUGCACUUGCGAUUACAUACUUGGUCCAUUAGUACAAUUAUUGUAUUGUUUUUUUCUAUUUGGCUACUCGAUUUUUUUUCAUUCAUCAUUUGAAUUCUUUAUGUGAUUAUCUCCUGCUAUUCAUAAUGGAGAAAUUUCAAAGUUUUGUGAAAUAAGGAAAGAAUACUUAUUUGUGAUACAAAAGUUCAUUUUUCUAAGUUAUUCCGAAUUAUUGUAGCUAAUUUGUUGCGCCUUUUUGUUCCUUGUUAAACUGGUUUGACCCGUCUAGAUGAAUAGCUUGAACAACAAAAACGUCCAGCAAUAUAUAUGUGUGUGUGUUCGCAAUUGAAUUUGGGCUUUAACUAAAGUCUUAAAAUUUAUUAUAGUAGUUUUUAUUUCUAAAAUAUAACAUAUAUAGUUCUAUGAAAACUAAUCAAACGAGUAAAUAAAAUAUAAAUGUCUAAAUUCUGA
rnacentral:lncRNA from 1 species